GUGCCAGCCGCCGCGGUAAUACGAAGGGGGCUAGCGUUGUUCGGAAUCACUGGGCGUAAAGCGCACGUAGGCGGACUUUUAAGUCAGGGGUGAAAUCCCGGGGCUCAACCCCGGAACUGCCUUUGAUACUGGAAGUCUUGAGUCCGAGAGAGGUUAGUGGAACUCCGAGUGUAGAGGUGAAAUUCGUAGAUAUUCGGAAGAACACCAGUGGCGAAGGCGGCUCACUGGCUCGGUACUGACGCUGAGGUGCGAAAGCGUGGGGAGCGAACAGGAUUAGAUACCCUGGUAGUCCACGCCGUAAACGAUGGAAGCUAGCCGUCAGGUAGCAUGCUAUUUGGUGGCGCAGCUAACGCAUUAAGCUUCCCGCCUGGGGAGUACGGCCGCAAGGCUAAAACUUAAAUGAAUUGACGGGG
rnacentral:rRNA from 1 species